GACGAACGCUGGCGGCGUGCCUAAUACAUGCAAGUUGAGCGCUGAAGGUUGGUACUUGUACCAACUGGAUGAGCAGCGAACGGGUGAGUAACGCGUGGGGAAUCUGCCUUUGAGCGGGGGACAACAUUUGGAAACGAAUGCUAAUACCGCAUAAAAACUUUAAACACAAGUUUUAUGUUUGAAAGAUGCAAUUGCAUCACUCAAAGAUGAUCCCGCGUUGUAUUAGCUAGUUGGUGAGGUAAAGGCUCACCAAGGCGAUGAUACAUAGCCGACCUGAGAGGGUGAUCGGCCACAUUGGGACUGAGACACGGCCCAAACUCCUACGGGAGGCAGCAGGAGGGAAUCUUCGGCAAUGGACGAAAGUCUGACCGAGCAACGCCGCGUGAGUGAAGAAGGUUUUCGGAUCGUAAAACUCUGUUGGUAGAGAAGAACGUUGGUGAGAGUGGAAAGCUCAUCAAGUGACGGUAACUACCCAGAAAGGGACGGCUAACUACGUG
rnacentral:rRNA from 1 species